UAUUUUGAACCCCCUCUGCCGAAAUUCUGGCUCCGCCACUGUGGAGAACAACGUCGAUCCUCAUCCGUCCGAUCAACAUCAACAUCUUCACCAUGAUAUGAUGAUGACGUGUUCGGUGGACCUACAAAAUACACAAAACCUAGUACUAACAACAAUAAUAAUAAAUCAUCGUCAAUGAAUGAUAUCAAUUAUGAUUCUAUCUUUAACAAUAAUAAAACAUCGUUUGUUCCAGUGUAUGAUUGCCAGGACUGAAGAGCAAAUCUGAAUAUGGAAAAUCAUCUGUGAGAUUUGAUGAUGAUGUUUUUGUUGCUACAAUGACUUUGCCAUCAGAAACGAAGAUUAAGGACGAGCAUUUUGGUGAUUUGUUGGGGAAUUUGAAGUCGAAUCACAAGGUAACUGAGUCGAAGAGUAGUUCGAGCUCGAGUGCUAGAGAGUUUGAUGAUUUGUUAGCUGGUUUUAGGAAUAGCACUUCCACCACUAAUAAGAGGUACACCUUUUAUCAUGUUGAAAAAGCGACGAACUGAUAAUUGAGCUGUGUUAUUAAUAGAUAGAUGAUGAUAGUUCAGGUAGGAAAAAGGAACAACUGAUAGUUUGGGUGUGACCUUAUCCAAAAAAAAAAAAAAAAGUUGUGAAACUCGCGAAAAAACAAUAGUUCAGGUAUGUUUUGACCAUUAACUCUAGUUUAAAUAUUUAGGUUGUUUCUCAGUGAAAUUAAAGUAACAGCCAGAAUUGGUACGAAAUUUAGGCAUAGUUGUUAAAGUUAUUUAUAUGUAGCUGAUCCCGGCUAGUUUUGUGAUUGAGACAUAGUUGUUAUAAAGUCUGACAUAGUUGGAUUUGUCUCAAUUGCAACUAAUGUCGAUUUGAGUUCUCUAUUAGCCGGCUCCAAGUGUUGACGCGACUCGACGUAGAACAACCACUAUUUCUGUUCUUGAAGAUACAAAUUUCCUUGGUCGUCCGGUUGGAGUUACUAGCUAUUUAAAGCCUUUAGUAUCGGAGACCGAUAAAGAGAAGAUGAACGAAGUCUCCUGGAAGUGCCUGAUUAAUGAAGGAAUGCACUCGUCCCACUGGUUAUCAGUUUUGGUCGGAGAAGGCUUUCGCCUUUGUCUCGAAGAAAAUGACGACCUUAAGGUCCAGCUGGAUGCCCAAGAAAGAGAAAUUCAUCAUCUAAAGGCAGAACAAUCAGCCCACAGUGGAUCUCCCUUUAGUGAAAGCCGAGCUGGCCAAGGUCAAGAAUGACUUUGCCUGGGCUAAGGAGCAUCUUGAAAGAGUUCAAGAUAUCUGGAGAAGAGAAUUGAUCAACUCGACCAAGACGUCGACAAUCUCCAUUAUGAAACUUGAAUUCAAAGAGGAAAUUCUGGACUUCAAGGAAGAUAAUGGAGCCUUUCUCUCCUCCGAGGUUGCCCGACUCAACAACGAGCUCUCUAUUAUCAAUGAACAGUGGUCAUCCGAGCUUACUGUCACUGCUCAAAAUUUUGAACAAGACUUACAGCAGUCCCAAGCCGAGAACCGCCAACAAGUCAACAUCAUUGAAAAGUUGAAGUCUGAUCUCGAAACUUCCGUUCAGAAGAAUGAAGAGAUUUCAACUCGCCUGGAUCAGGCUCGUGCUGACUUGAAGGCUGAGAAGGCUCAGUCCGUUCUAAAGGUCGAAUAUACAAAGUGGAAUGUUCGUAGGUUUACCCUGGAACAAACUCGAAGUGGCCUUCAAGAUUAUCACGCAAAGAUUGCCGAGGCCAACUCGAGGUUUAAGCCUAUCAACGGAUGUCUCCCGCUGAAAGCUCCGAGGAUGACCCCGAAGACUUAGAUGAUGAAUCCGAGCAAUUCACAUGUUUGUUAUAUAUAUAUAUAUAUAUUUUUUUUAAUCUUUGCAUUUUUCUAGACCAUUUUGGUCAUUUUUGUAAAUGAAUUGAUCCAAGUUUCCAGAUUAUGAUCGACUUUUAUCAGUCUUUUAAUCUCAAUUAUUUUUGCUAUC